GUGAAUCAUCGAAUUUUUGAACGCAUAUUGCACUCUCUGGUAUUCCGGAGAGUAUUCCUAUUUGAGGGUCAUUUGAAAUAAUAUAAAUUUCGAGAUUUUCUUGGAUUCAAAAAUGGGACGGUCCAGCUAUAGUGUGGUGGUCGACUAAACUGCAAGACAAGCUCAUUUCUUGGGUUACGUGAUACUUUCA
rnacentral:misc_RNA from 1 species